AGAAACUGGACUCAGCCACAGAGUGGAGAGCCUGUCCACUGAGUACCUAUCCUUGAAGCUUCCAUUUAUUUCUCCUCAAAUGAAGUCAGCAAAAGACAGAACUGAGGAGGGAAGAGCUGAGCUGGGGUGUUAAAGUGAAAGAAGGAAGCUAGUGACAGCUGAGCCACUUAAGGCCAGAACUCUGAGCUGAGCGGUGGAGGCCCCCUUGGACCCGGAGAGAAGAGGCUGCCUUGGAACCAGCAAUGAGCCAUCCUGACUGCAGGCUGAACCUCCGGCCCCUGGGAACCCCUAGAGGUGUGUCCUCUGCGGUUGGCUCACAUGGUGUUGGUGCUUCGCCAGGUGACAAGAAGUCAAAGAACAAGUCCACACGAGGGAAGAAAAAGAGCAUAUUCGAAACCUACAUGUCUAAGGAGGAUGUUUCAGAAGGCUUGAAGAGAGGAACGCUUAUCCAGCCCACAUACUGGAGUCCAUUUUAUCUACAAGCUUCUUGGCUCCCAUUUUGUUCUGUGCACGAGGACCCACUGUGCUGCUCUCAUAGCCGCCCCUCUCCCGCAGGUGCAUGCUGCUCCGUCCACGCUGAGCUUCAAGACUUUUCAUGUAAAAACUCUGUUUUUUGAUUCCUGUGUGACUCUGGACGUGCUGUUCCUGAUACUUGGAAAGCUUUCUUCCACUAUCUUGAUGUAAUUGUGCUUGACCUUUAAGUCCCUACCUAAAAAUUACCCUGUUUUGAGAAGGUUCACUGUAAUUUUCCAAGCAGAAUCAGCCAUUGUCAUUGUCCUGAAGCUGACUUCUCUGUGUACCCUUUAUUGUAAACUCAUUACCAUUUCUUGGCAUUUAUGUGUCCUCAAAUAGACUAUUCACUUCACUGUGGGCAGGUCACGUCUUAUUCCCCACACAUUAACCCAGACUCUGGCAUUUGAUUGAUGCUUAACAAGUUUAUAUUGAAUAAAUAUUUAUUUGCUGACCAAAUGAAUAAAGGAUCAAGGUGUACUGUCUUUUGAAGAAGAGUGAGGGGAACCUUGGUUGUUAUAACUUAGAAGAAAAAUUGCUUAUAGUUUUGGUUAUAGAAUUUAUAGAGGUAAAGUGAGGGAAAUAUUCUGCAAUGGUAUUAGUUUUUGCUUUCUCCUAUUAAUUUUUGGUUUUGAGGCAACUUUUUGCUGAUAUUAAAACAAAAAAAGCUGAUCGAUGUAACAACUCUCAUUCCCAGGAGUUUAUAAGUGAUUCCUUCUGGCCUGUGACUUCAUGAGACUCUGCAGCCAGAGCCUCCCCCCACAGAUGAGAACAGUUGUUCUUUGCAGAUGGGGAAAGGAAUGGGUUCCAGAUAUGAGGUCACCAUGUGAAAUAUACAACACUGUAAAUAAGAUUUUCAUAGGCAGAGAAACAGAGGCCAUCUGCUUUCUGAUAUAAACUUGAUGUGUGCGGGCCUUGAUGGGCAAGGUAGAAAGCUAGACAAAAGAUAAUUUGAAUGCUGUUGGAGAAAAACUAAACUUAUUAAAUAUGCUUAUGAGCAUUUGUUGACUUUGAUAUUCAAAUUUAAGUUUAUAGUGCCAUCUUUUUUCUUCUCCCAUCCAGAGAAGAAACUUUUAUAGAGAAUAUUAUGAAGAUAUUUUAAAAUAUGAGUAGAGUAAUACUUUAUUUCAUUUUCAAUACUUGACUGAUAAUUUGACAUUGUUUUGCCCUAUGUGGGGAGUGGAGGAGAGGAGUCCACAGUGACCAAAGAAAUCUCUUUCCUGUGCUUGAACUGACCAGCAAUAAAACAUA